UGGAGUGUAGCUCAGUGGUAGAGUUCUUGCUUAGCAUGCAUGAGGCCCUGGGUUCCCUCCCCAGUACCACAG
rnacentral:tRNA from 1 species